rnacentral:rRNA from 1 species
UACGUAGGGUGCGAGCGUUGUCCGGAAUUAUUGGGCGUAAAGAGCUUGUAGGCGGUUUGUCGCGUCUGCCGUGAAAAUUCGAGGCUCAACCUCGAACUUGCGGUGGGUACGGGCAGACUAGAGUGUGGUAGGGGGGACUGGAAUUCCUGGUGUAGCGGUGAAAUGCGCAGAUAUCAGGAGGAACACCGGUGGCGAAGGCGGGUCUCUGGGCCGAUACUGACGCUGAGGAGCGAAAGCGUGGGGAGCGAACAGG